CAGAAUUAGUAAUGAACGGUGGUCAA
rnacentral:rRNA from 1 species